AGUGAACGCUGGCGGUAGGCCUAACACAUGCAAGUCGAACGGCAGCACAGUAAGAGCUUGCUCUUACGGGUGGCGAGUGGCGGACGGGUGAGGAAUACAUCGGAAUCUACUUUUUCGUGGGGGAUAACGUAGGGAAACUUACGCUAAUACCGCAUACGACCUACGGGUGAAAGCAGGGGAUCUUCGGACCUUGCGCGAUUGAAUGAUCCGAUGUCGGAUUAGCUAGUUGGCGGGGUAAAGGCCCACCAAGGCGACGAUCCGUAGCUGGUCUGAGAGGAUGAUCAGCCACACUGGAACGGAGACACGGUCCAGACUCCUACGGGAAGCAGCAGUGGGGAAUAUUGGACAAUGGGCGCAAGCCUGAUCCAGUCAUACCGCGUGGGUGAAGAAGGCCUUCGGGUUGUAAAGCCCUUUUGUUGGGAAAGAAAAGCAGCAGGUUAAUACCCCGCUGUUCUGACGGUACCCAAAGAAUAAGCGCCGGCUAACUUCGUG
rnacentral:rRNA from 1 species